rnacentral:lncRNA from 1 species
AGUCUUUUCGAAAAUCAUCGUGGAGUUAGAGGUGUAGGGAUCACAGGUGAGUUACUUGGCUAUUUAAGCUUAUAUCAGUGUCCCCAGAAACUUAUUCUAAGACUCCUUUCUGUCCAUCCAAAAACUGUUUUCGUGAAGCCAGAGCUCCAAACCUGUGACUUUUCCUGAAGCACACAGACCCCUGGAACAUAUAGUUUAGCUCCUGCCCCGUUUCCCCCUCAGCUCUUUGAGGGACUCAAGUGAUCAGCCAGGUAGUAAGCUGAGGAAUGAUAAUAAGGAUAGAAACCAUCUGCCCAGUGCCCCAAGUACCAUUGUCUCUGUUACAUAACUGUAAUCUCGAUAACUUAUUGUGGAGACUGUCGUCAUCUCAUUACCACCACUGAGGGAAUUCAGGCUUAAGAGAUGUUAGUAAACCCCACAAUUUUAUUUAAACAGUGCUUAAUUUUGGGUGAGUUAUGUAUCACUCAUGUAUGUGUUCAUUUAAUAUUUCUGCUAUGUUUUCACGGAGGCUCAAGGAGACAACAGUGAUUAAGUUGGUAUUAUAAUCCUGGUCAAAUAAGCUCCAUGUUUUAUAUGAUUUUCCAUCUAAUAUUCGUCUCUAGUCUCGUCUUCUCCAGGGCACACAAACUCACUGCCUUCAACUUUCUGAAACCACAAUAGCUUCAAGAUCCCUUAUCAUAAAAGUCUCCUCUCAACACAUUUUGGUUUGUCAAUGCCAUUCUUUCUUUUUUUUUUUUUUUAAGUUUUGAGAUACAGCAUGAGUAGAGGAGAGGCAGAGAGAGGGAGACAGAGAAUCUCAAGCAGGCUCCUCGCUGUCAGCACAGAGCCUGAUGCGGGGUGCAAACUCACGAAACCAUGAGAUCAUGACCUGAGCCGAAACCAAGAGUCAGACACUUAACUGACUGAGCCACCCUGGUGCCCCACCAACGCCAUUCUCGAAAUAAAACACUCAGACUUUAAUUCCUAGUUGUGGGAACUUCAGCAAAAAUAAAACCAAAAUAAGCCCUAAUUCAGGACACCCCUACCCCCAACAUGGGGCUCCAACUCACGACACUGAUAUCAAGAGGCAUGUGCUUUACUGAAUAAGCCAGCCAGGUGUCCCUAAUUCAUGAUGCUAUUAAAUAUAGACAAAGAAGAAAACUAAUUUUUAGAAAAAAAUUGUGUUACCAUUGUGUUACUAGCACCAAGUGCUAAGUUGAGUAUCGAGUUUUUGAAAGACCUUGGGUCGGACAGUUAAGUAAUAUUUAGUGGAAUGUUAGAAUGUCUAUAGAGAUUGGAAAGGUCAUGUGGCAUUGAGAUCAGAGUUGCCUUUACUGCUCACAUGAACCUCUUAAUAAUGACUAUUAUUUAUGGAGCAGUUUCCAAGUAUCAGCUACUGUGCAAGGUAUAGGACUGGAGAUAUCUUUUUAUUCUAUUUAGUAACUAUUAUUUCUAUAAAACACAAAGGGCAUCUCAGGUUCAGAAGGUCAAAUAGCCUAAUUAGAAACUCUCAGAUAGUAAAGUAGCAACAACAAGAAUCAAAUCCAUGGUUGUGCUGACGAAACCCAAAGCAAAUUACUGAAUUUUGGACCAUUUUCAUUUCUGCCCAAGGCCCCAGUUCCUCAUCUGUAAAAUCAGCAGUUUGAAUCACAGCGUCUAUAUAAGUGAUGGUGUGCUGGAGUGGACUGUGAGAGCUGAUGGUUUUAUUUUCCACCAAAAGGCUGCUAGAACUGAUACAUGAAUUCAGCAAAGUCGCAGGAUACAAAAUUAACGUACAGAAAUCAGUUGCAUUCUUAUAUACUAAUAAUGACGCAACAGAAAGACAAAGAAACUGAUCCCAUUCACAACUGCACCAAGAAUCAUAAAGUACCUAGGAAUAAACCUAACCAAAGAUGUAAAAUAUUUGUAUGCUGAAAACUAUAGAAAGCUUAUGAAGGAAAUUGAAGAAGAUACAAAGGAAUGGAAAAACAUUCUGUGCUCAUGGAUUGGAAGAAUAAAUAUUGUUAAAAUGUCAAUACUACCCAAAGCAAUCUACACAUUCAAUGCAAUCCCAAUCAAAAUUGCACCAGCAUUCUUCUCGAAGCUAGAAUAAGCAAUCCUAAAAUUUGUAUGGAACCACAAAAGACCCCGAAUUGCCAAAGUAAUAUUGAAGAAGAAAACCAAAGCAGGAGGCAUCACAAUCCCAGACUUUAGCCUCUACUAAAAGCUGUAAUCAUCAAGACAGCAUGGUAUUGGCACAAAAACAGACACAUAGACCAAUGCAAUCAAAUAGAGACUCCAGAAUUGGACCCACAAAAGUACGGCCAACUAAUCUUUGACAAAGCAGGAAAGAAUAUCUAAUGGAAAAAAGACAGUCUCUUUAACAAAUGGCGCUGGGAGAACUUGACAGCAACAUACAGAAGAAUGAAACUAGACCACUUUCUUACACCAUUCACAAAAAUAAACUCAAAAUGGAUAAAGGACCUGGAUGUGAGACAAGAAACCAUCAAAACCCUGGAGGAGAAAGGGAAAAACCUCUCUGACCCCAGUCGCAGCAGUUUCUUACUUGACGCAUCUCCAAAGGCAAGGGAAUUAAAAGCAAAAAUGAACUAUUGGGACCUCAUCAAGAUAAAAAGCUUCUGUACUGUGAAGGAAACAAUCAAUAAAACUAAAAGGCAACCGACAGAAUGGGAAAAGAUAUUUGCAAAUGAUGUAUCAGACAAAGGGCUAGUAUCCAAAAUCUAUAAAGAACUCACCAAACUCCACACCCAGAAAACAAAUAAUCCAGUGAAGAAGUGGGCAGAAAACAUGAAUAGACACUUCUCUAAAGAAGACACCCAGAUAGCCAACAGGCAUAUGAAAAGAUGCUCAAUGUCGCUCCUCAUCAGGAAAAUACAAAUCAAAACCACACUGAGAUACCACCUCACAUUGGCCAGAGUGGCUAACAUUAACAACUCAGGAAACAACAGAUGUUGGAGAGGAUAUGGAGAAACAGAAACCCUCUUGCACUGUCGGUGGGAAUGCAAACUGGUGCAGCCACUCUGGAAAACAGUGUGGAGGUUCCUCAAAAAAUUAAAAAUAGAACUACCCUACGAGCCAGCAAUAGCACUGCUAGGAAUAUGCCCAAGGGAUACAGGAGUUCUGAUGCAUAAGGGCACUUGUACCCCAGUGUUUAUAGCAGCACUUUCAACAGCAGCCCAAUUAUGGAAAGAGCCUAAAUGUCCAUCAACUGAUGAAUGGAUAAAGAAAUUGUGGUUUAUAUACACAAUAGAAUACUACGUGGCAAUGAGAAAGAAUGAAAUCUGGCCUUUUGUAGCCACAUGGAUGGAACUGGAGAGUGUUUUGCUAAGUGAAAUAAGUCAGGCAGAGAAAGGCAGAUACCAUAUGUUUUCACUCUUACGUGGAUCCUGAGAAAGUGUACAGAAGACCCUAGGGGAGGGGAAGGAAAAAAAAGUUACAGAGAUGGAAGGAGGCCAACCAUAAGAGACUUUUAAAAACUGAGAACAAACUGAGGGUUGAUGGGGGGUGGGUGAUGGGUAUUGAGGAGGGCACCUGUUGGGAUGAGCACUGGGUGUUGUAUGAAAACCAAUUUGACAAUGAAUUUCAUAUGAAAAAAAUUUGUGAGCUAGUUUUAAACAGAACCAUCAUUGACAAACUAGAUAAACUUCACAUUACAUUAAACAUUUAAAUGAACAUUCAUAACAUUAAAAACUAUUCAAAACUCAUUUACUAAUUUUUUUUUUACUUCAUUUGGCCUAUCUGUGCUCUUGAGUCCAUUUAUAUUUUGUAUCUCUAUGGGAGAAAGAGUGUACAUUGCUGUGCUGCCAUUGUUUCCUUGCUUUCAGUUCAGCGAGGCCCUAUUGGUGGCUUCGUACCUACCAGGCAAGAGUAUUUACACAAUGGAAAUCAGCAAAUGCUAAAAAUCAAGGCUUGGUUUAUUGUUUUGUUGGUUGUGUGGACUUAUGAAAUUGAUAGAAAACAAUUAUAUAAAGUAAAAAGUGUGUCAUAUCUAUGGGUAUUACAUGUGAGUAGCACAAAAAAAAAUGACAAAAUACUCCUCUAAUAUUUGAAAACUACUAUACAAUUCAGAAAAGUUACUCAACCUCAUUAAUAAACGAGAAGUGCCAACAUGUCUCUGUUGUUUUAUCUCAUUAACAGAAAUGAAAAAAUAUCAACCGACAUGUUCAGGAAAGAGGGUAGAGUAGGAGGAUUCUGGGCUCACCUCAUCCCAUGGACUCACUGACAUAAUAGCUCUAUAGCUCGUUCUGUCUCUCUUCUCUUCUCUCUCUCUCUCUCUCUCUCUCUCUCUCUCUCUCUCUAUAUAUAUAUAUAUAUAUAUAUCAUGUACUAUAUAUACAAUGAACUCUGAAAAUGACCUGAGGACUGGCAGAAUGGUCCUUCUAUGGUUAAUCAUAGAAAGGCGGCCAUAUUAGAAAAGGGUAGGAGGGGCAGAGACAUGGUUGGGAACCAAACCCCCAGUGAGACUAACCACAAACAGGAGCGACACCACCAGCAUAGAGAAGAGGAUUAGACCCCACACAAGGGACCCCUGACACUGGGGACCUAGGAAGAUGAGUCCCCUUAACAUCUGGCUUUGAAAACCACUAGGGCUUAAUGUCAGGAGCUUUUUAAAAUCAGCAGGACUUAACUCAGAGAGCCUGAGGGCCGAUAGGAAACUGAGGCCCCACCCUUUAAGAGCCAGCCUAAUAAAUAACUCACCCUGAGACAAAGCACAGAAGCAGCAAUUUGAAAAGAGCCUGUGGUAUACAUGAAAGAGAUUUAUUUGCUAAUCUCAGAACAUGUGCUGGAGGGACAGGGAUCUUCAGGAGAUUUCUCUGGGAACCAAACUGUCGGCAAGUGUCAUUUCUCUUCCCCCCAACCCCAGCCUAGAUGGGUGGACGCUUGUGGGAGCCCGUGCUAACACUCUCCAUCUACCUUGCGAAAAAACUGCGUGCCCUGCCCUUGUGUUUCCCGCUGUGGACCUGCCCCCAUCCAACCUGCCCACCUCACGAGACCUCCCUUGAAAGUGGCUCCUGCCCCACGAGCAGCCCUAUCACGGACUGGCACCCCUCCGAAGUGACUCCUGCCCUGGGGAGCGAGGGAAAUCACCCUACACACCAGCGCCUGCAGUUUCAGUGGCCUGCCCCUUAGCUGGCUGCUCAGGGAGCAACCCCCGACCAUCGGUGCGCCUGCAGUUGUGGCCGAGAGGCUAAUUGCAGACAGCUAGCCUGACUGCCAGCCCCACCAAAGAGCCAAAGAGCCUGUGGUGGCCUCAGGCCUCUCAACGGCGUGGGGAUAGCCCUGCCCAGUGCAUCCACAGCAGGCGAAGCAGGCUCGGCAGCUGGCGGGGCUGAAGGCAAACGCAGCUCUGCCACAAGAGUGGGGUGCAUGCAGCACCCCCAGACACGCUGGGAUGUCUGGUUCUUGGUGAUGAGGAGGGAUUGUGCUAGAGGGCGCCACAGAACCUCUUCUACGCAAGGCCGCUACUUUCAAGACCAGGAGACAUAGCUGACCUGAUCCACAGAAACAGAUUAGACAAAAAGGAGCCUGAGGUUCGGUCUUAAGUGUAGGAUGAGACAAAAUAAAAAGGCUAAGUGAAGAAACCAAGAUAAGCAAUAUACCUGAUGAAUAAUUCAAAGUCACGGUCAUACACGUGAAAAGAUGCUGAACAUUACUCAUGAUCAGGGAAAUACAGAUCAAAACCACAUUGAGAUACCACCUCACACCAGUCAGAGUGGCUAAAAUGAACAAGUCGGGAAACAACAGAUGCUGGCAAGGAUGUGGAGAAACGGGAGUCCUCUUGCACUGUUGGUGGGAAUGCAAACUGGUGCAGCUGCUCUGGAAAACAGUGUGGAGGUUCCUCAAAAAAUUAAAAGAGAACUACCCUAUGACCCAGCAAUAGCACUACUAGGAAUUUAUCCCAAUGAUAUGGGAGUGCUGAUUCAUAUGGGCACAUGUACCCCAAUGUUUAUAGCAGCACCUUCAACAAUAGCCAAAUUAUGGAAAGAACCUAAAUAUCCAUCAACUGAUGAAUGGAUAAAGAAGAUGUAGUUUAUAUAUUCAAUGGAAUACUACUUGGCAAUGAAAAAGAAUAAUAUCCUGCCAUUUGCAGCAAUGUGAAUGGAACUGGAGGGCAUUAUGCCAAGUGAAAUAAGUCAGUCAGAGAAAGAUAUCAUGAGUUUCUCAAGUUCCACAUAUGAGUGAAAACAUUACAGAAGACCAUGGGGGAAGGGAAGGGGAAAAAUAGUUACAGAGAAGGAGGGAGGAAAAUCAUAAGAGACUCUUAAAUACAGAGAACAAACUGAGGGUUGAUUGCAGCAGGUGGGGGAAUGGGGGAAAUGGGUGAUGAGCAUUGAGGAGGGCACUUGUUGGCAUGAACACUGGGUGUUGGUUGUAUGGGAGCAAUAAGUCAGAGGAAUCUACCCCCAAAACCAAGAGCACACUAUACACUGUGUGUUAGCCAACUUGACAAUAAAUUAUAUUAAAACACACACACACACACACACACACACACACACACACACACACACAAAGUCAUGGUCAUAAAGAUACUCACUGGACUUAAGAGUGAAUGAACUCCAUGAAAACUUCUACAAAGAGGUAGAAAAGAUACACACACACAGAUGAAUUUAAUAACUGAAAUUAAAAAAAAAAUACACUAGAGGGAAUCAACAGAUUAGGAGGCAGAAGAUGGGAUCAGCAUUCCAGAAGACAGGGUAAUGGAAAGCAACCAAGCUGAAUGCCAAAAAGGAAAAAGAACAACAAAAAUGAGAAUUGGUUAAGGGAACUCUGUGACAUCAAUAAGUGUAAGAACAUUCACAUCAUAGUGAUCCCAAAAGGAGGAGAGACAGAAGGGGGUAGAAGAUCUAUUGGAAGAAAUAAUACCUGAAAACAUUCCCCGUCUGUAGAAGGAAACAGACAUCCAAGUCCAGGAAACACAGAGAGCCCCUAACAAGAUUAACCCUUGGAGGUCACAUAAUAAUAAAAGACACAUAAUAAUAAAAAUGGCAAAAGUAACAACAAAAAGAAUGUUAAAAGCAGCAAGAGAAAGAAAAAGUUACCUAAAAGGGAAACUCUGUAAGGCUUUAGCCGAUUUUUUUUUUAACAGAAACUUUGCAAGCCAGGGUCAGAAGCAGGAUAUUCACCAUGCAGAAAGGAAAAAAAAACAAAACAAAAAAACAACUGAGAAUACUCUACAAAGCAAGGUUAUCAUUCAGAAUUGAAGAGAUAAAGAAUUUACCAAACAAAAGAUAGGAGUUCACUGCCACUAAAUCAGACAAGAAAUGUUAAAGGGAAUUCAUUGUAAAGUAAAGGCCACACCUAGAAGAAAAUUAUGGGAAAAAUUCAUAGGUAAAAUAAGCAUUUAGUAAAGGUAAUAGAUUAAUCACUUAUAAAGCCAGUAUGGAGGUUAAAACACCUAAGUAGUAAAAUCAGCUAUAUCUACAAAAAUCAGUCAAGAGUACUCAAAAUAAAAAGUUGUAAACUAUGACAUCAAAUACAUAAAACAUCAAGGAGGUAAAAUUUUAGUACUUAUACAAUUUGUUUGACUUAAGCAAGCAGCAACUUAAUAUAGACUGCUAUAUACAUAGGAUGUUCUAUAUGAAACCAGUGGUAACCACACAUCAAUAACCUGUCAUAGAUACAUAAGAAAUAAUAAGAAAGGAAUCCAAGCAUAAGACUAGAAGCCAUCAUACCACAAAGAAAGAAAGACAAAAAAGGAACAGAAGAACUAUAUAAACAACCAGAAAAUAAUUAACAAAAUAACAGUAAGUACAUACUUGUCAAUAAUUAAUUUAAAUGUAAAUGGACUAGGUGCUCCCAUCAAAAGACAUAGGGUGACUGAAUGGAUUAAAAAACAAGACCCAUCUAUAUACCGCCUGCAAGAGACUCACUUCAGAUCUAAAGACAAAUAUAGACUGAAAGUAAAGGGAUGGAAAAACACAUACCAUGCAAAUGGAUGUGGGGGGAAAAAAGCCAGGGUAGCAAUACUUCUAUCAGACAAAAUGGACUUUAAAACAAAGACUGUAGCAUGAGACAAAGAAGGGUACUACAUAGUAAUAAAGGGAUCAAUCCAAUAAGAGGAUAUAACAACUGUAAUUAUCUAUAUACCCAACGCAGGACCACCUAAAUAUAUACGGCAUGUACUAACAGACAUAAAGGGAGAAAUUGACAGUAAAGCAAUAGCAGGGCACUUUAACACCCCAUGUCCAUCGGUGGAUAGAUCAUCCAGCCUGAAAAAUCAAGGAAACAGUGGCUUUGAAUGACACAUUAGACGAGAUGGACCUAAUAGAUAUAUAAAGAGCAUUAUUCCAGACCCAGAAGAAUAUAUAUUCUUUUCAAGUGCAUAUGGGACAUUCUCCAGGCUAGAUUACAUGUUAGGCCACACAAAAAAAAGCCACAGUAAAUUUGAGAAGACUGAAAUCAUACCAAGUGUCUUUUCUGACCACAACAGUAUUAAACUAGGUAUCAAUUACAAGGGGAAAAAAAAAUCUGGAAAGAACACAAAUACAUGGAGGCUAAAUAACAUGCUACUAAACAAUAAAUGGGUCCACUCAGAAAUCAUCAAUAAAAAAAUACCUAGAGACAAGUGAAAAUGAAAACACAUUGGUCCAAAAUCUUGGGAUACGGCAAAAGCAGUUUUAAGAGGGAAGUUUAUAGCAAUACAGGUAUACCUCAAGAAACAAGAAAAAUCUGAAAAAAAAAAAGCUAACCUUACACCUAAGGGAGCUAGAAAGAGAAGAACAAACACAUUAGUUCUACCAAGUAUUUAAAGAAGAGUUAAUACCUAUUCUCAAACUAUUCAAAAAAAUAGAAGUAGAAGGAAAGCUUCCAAAAGCAUUCUACAAAAUUAGUAUUACCCUGAUACCAAAACCAGACAAACACUACAAAAACAAAAUGAAAAAACUACAUGUCAAUAUGCCUAAUGAACAUUGAGCAAAAUCUGCAACGAAACAUUAACAAAGUGAAUUUAAAAAUACAUUUAAAAAAAUUAUUCACCACAAUAAAGUGGGAUUUAUUUCAGGAUAUUAGCAUUAUUUAAUAUUAUCAAUCAACCUGAUACAUUAUAUUAACAAGCAAAAGGAUAAGAACCAUAUGAUCUUCUCAAUAGGUGUAGGAAAAGUAUUUGACAAAAUACAAUGUCCAUUCUUGAUAAAAACUCAACAAAGGGAGUUUCAGAGAAAACAUACAUCAACAUAAUAAAGGCCACAUAUGAGAAGCCCACAGUUAACAUCAUAUUCAAUGGUGAAAAACUGAAAGUCUUUCCUCUAAAGGUCAAGAACAAGAAAGGAUGCUUACGCUCACCACUUUACUUCAACAUAGUACUAGAAGUCUUAGCUCCAGCAAUGGGACAAUAACAAGAAAUAAAAGGCAUCCAAAUUGGCAAAAAGCAAUACUAUUACUAUUUGUACAUGACAUACUAUAUAGAGAAAACUCUAAAAACUCCACCAAAAAAAAUCUAUAGGAAUGGAUAGAGGAAUUCAGUAAAGUUGCAAGAUAUAGAAUACACAGAAAUCUGUUGCAUGUCUAUAUACUAAUAAUGAAGUAGAAGAAAGAGAAAUUAAGAAAACAACUCCAUUUGCAAUUGCACCAUAAAUAAAAUACCUAAGAAUAAAUUUAACCAAGGAAGUAAAAGACCUGUAUUUUGAAAACUAUAACAACAUUGAUAAAAGAAAUUGAAGACAAAAAUGGAAAUAUACUCCAUACUCAUGGAUUAGAAGAAUUAAUAUUAUUAAGAAGUCCAUUACUACCCAAAGUAACCCACAGAUUGAACUAAUCUCUAUCAAAAUGCCGAAAGCCUUUUCGCAGAACUGGGAUAAAUAAUCCUAAAAUUUGUAUGUGACCACAAAAGAUCCUAAACAGUCAAAACAAUCUUGAGAAAGAACAAAGCACAAUCCCAGUAUCACAAUCCCAGAUUUCAUGAUAUAACACAAGGCUAUAGUGAUCAAAACAGUAUGAUAUUAGCACAAGAAUAGACACAGAUUCAUCGAACAGGAUAAAGAAACCAGAAAUAAACCCACACCUAUAUGGUCAAUUAAUCUUCAACAAAAGGAGGCAAGAAUAUACAACAGGAAAAAGACAGUCUUUUCGAUAAAUGAUGUUGAUAACACCACUUUCUUACACCAUACACAAAAAUAAACUCAAAAUGGAUUAAAAACCUAAAUCUGAGACCUGAAACCAUAGAACCCCUGAAUGAAAACAUAAGCAGUAAUCUCUUGGACAUCAGCCUUAGCAACAUACUUAUGGAUAUUUUUCCUCAGGCAGCAGAAAUGAAAGCAAAAACAAUUAAUUGUGACUACACUAAAAUAAAGUUUUUGCACAGAAAAGGAAACCAUCAACAAAAAGGCAACCCAGUGAAUAGAAGAUAUCUAUAAAUAAUAUAACUGAUUAGUGUAUGUAAAUAUUAAUAUAACUGACAAGGGAUUAAUAUCCAAAAUAUAUAAAGAACUUAUACAACUCAAUACCAAAAAAAACACACACACACACACACACACAAAAACAAACAAAAAACUAAUCUGUUUUAAAAAAAAUAAGCAGAGGACCAGAAUAAACAUUUUUCCAAAGGAGACCUAUAGAUGGCCAACAGACACAUGGAAAGAUGCUCAACAUCACUAAUCAUUAGGGAAAUGCAAAUCAAAAUGACAAUGAGAUAACACUUCACACCACUCAGGGUAGCUAGUAUCAAAAAGACAAGAAAUAGGGGCACCUGGGUGGCUCAGUCAGUUAUGCAUCCAACUCUUGAUUUCAAUUCUGGUCAUGAUCUUAUGGUUCAAGAGAUCGAGCCCCGAGUCGGGCUCUGUGCUGACACUGUGGAACUUACUUGCAAUUUUUUCUCUCUCUCUCUCUCUGCCUCUCCUCUGCUCAUGCUCUCACUCAAAAUAAAUAAAUAAACUUAAAAAAAGAAAAGACAAGUAAUAACAAGUGUUGGAGAGGAUGUAUAAAAAUGGGAACUCUCCUGUUAUUGGUGAGGAUGUAAAUUGGUAUAACCACUGUGGAAAACAGUAUGGGUCUUCUUCAAACAGAUAAAAAUGAUAACAAUAUAUGAUCUAGUAAUUCCACUACUAGGUAUUUACCCCCCAAAACCAAAAACUCUAAUUUGAAAAAAAAAAACAAGCACGUAUAGUUUUAUUGCAGCAUUAUUUACAAUAGCUAAGAUAUGGAAGCAACCCAAGUGUCUAUGAAUAGACAAAUGGAUAAAGAAGUGGUAUGUAUACAUAAUGAAAUACUACUCAGCCAUAAAAAAGAAUGAAACCUUGCCAUUUGUGACAACAUGGAGAAUCUAGAAGGUUUUAUGCUAAGUCAGAGAGAGACAAAUAUAAAUACCAUAUGAUUUCACUUACAUGUGGAACCUAAAAAAAAAAAAAAAAAUCCAGACUCUUAAAUACAGAGAAAAAAUGGGUGGUUGCCAGAUAGAAGACAAAUAGAAGUAUAGUAUAGGUAAUAUAGUCAAUAAUAUUAUAAUAAAGUUGAAUGGUGACAGUGAAUAUACUUACUGUGCUGAGCAUGAAGUAAUGUUAGAAUUAAUGUUUAGUGACAAUCAGUUGGCUAUAUGAAAUUUAUAAUUAAAAAGACUUUUUAAUUUGUGUUAUGCUUUCCUUAUAGCAAUAUGUUUAAAUAUAAAUCUAUGUGUACACACAUACACGUGUAAGACACUGGGGGUUGGUUGUUGAAUGUCUACCAACGCUUGGCUGCUUUGGGGUUUUUCUCAUCUUCAAUAUUGUAGGAGCCUAACUAGGACCAGGUGGAGACCACAGGGCGCCAGGCACUAUGAAGAACUGGUCCAAUCAUUGCAGGUGUUUGCGGUUGGAACGGGCUGUCUCAAGAGGUGGUGAGAUCCUGUUACUGCGCUGACACCAAGGCCACUCCACAGGGGAGAAGAGGGUGCAGAUGAUGUUGGAUGUGCUUCCUUCUCAACCGGAAAGUUUCACACCCAAUAGGGAAGAGGGAGUCAGAGUGAGAGGUGGGUAUGGCACCCGUGAGGCAAUGGCCGAUGGCUCUUGCCUGCUUUCAAGCUCAGAACGUAUCAGUCAAGAGUCUUAUCAACUUAUUGAUAUCCCUUAAUCAAUGGAAACUCCCUGGGUGGCCAGAGACAGAAUACAUUGCUCCUUGAGUUAAUCCCCUUCACUAUGGUGUAUGCUUCCUCAGUUGCUGUGCAUUUUAGGUGUUUGCGUGGUAGCUUCUCAUCUGAGAAUUUAUGCCUUCUGUGGCUGAGGCUUGUGCCUCGCCAUAAAUAAAAGAGUUGCU